rfam:Bacillus sp. OV166 genome assembly, contig: Ga0115450_11
AAUUAGAAUUGUCUAUCUUAUAAAAUUCAAACAAAAGGGAGUUUUUCUAAUGGGAACUAUCAUUUGCCAAAGUUGCAAUAAGACAAUUGAUCAUUUUGAGAAUGAGAAAGUAUCAACUUUAUACGGACAAUGCACUUGCUGUGAUAAAAAACAAAAGAAGACUUCUA